rnacentral:rRNA from 1 species
GUUAGCGGCGGACGGGUGAGUAACACGUGGAUAACCUACCUAUAAGACUGGGAUAACUUCGGGAAACCGGAGCUAAUACCGGAUAAUAUUUUGAACCGCAUGGUUCAAAAGUGAAAGACGGUCUUGCUGUCACUUAUAGAUGGAUCCGCGCUGCAUUAGCUAGUUGGUAAGGUAACGGCUUACCAAGGCAACGAUGCAUAGCCGACCUGAGAGGGUGAUCGGCCACACUGGAACUGAGACACGGUCCAGACUCCUACGGGAGGCAGCAGUAGGGAAUCUUCCGCAAUGGGCGAAAGCCUGACGGAGCAACGCCGCGUGAGUGAUGAAGGUCUUCGGAUCGUAAAACUCUGUUAUUAGGGAAGAACAUAUGUGUAAGUAACUGUGCACAUCUUGACGGUACCUAAUCAGAAAGCCACGGCUAACUACGUGCCAGCAGCCGCGGUAAUACGUAGGUGGCAAGCGUUAUCCGGAAUUAUUGGGCGUAAAGCGCGCGUAGGCGGUUUUUUAAGUCUGAUGUGAAAGCCCACGGCUCAACCGUGGAGGGUCAUUGGAAACUGGAAAACUUGAGUGCAGAAGAGGAAAGUGGAAUUCCAUGUGUAGCGGUGAAAUGCGCAGAGAUAUGGAGGAACACCAGUGGCGAAGGCGACUUUCUGGUCUGUAACUGACGCUGAUGUGCGAAAGCGUGGGGAUCAAACAGGAUUAGAUACCCUGGUAGUCCACGCCGUAAACGAUGAGUGCUAAGUGUUAGGGGGUUUCCGCCCCUUAGUGCUGCAGCUAACGCAUUAAGCACUCCGCCUGGGGAGUACGACCGCAAGGUUGAAACUCAAAGGAAUUGACGGGGACCCGCACAAGCGGUGGAGCAUGUGGUUUAAUUCGAAGCAACGCGAAGAACCUUACCAAAUCUUGACAUCCUUUGACAACUCUAGAGAUAGAGCCUUCCCCUUCGGGGGACAAAGUGACAGGUGGUGCAUGGUUGUCGUCAGCUCGUGUCGUGAGAUGUUGGGUUAAGUCCCGCAACGAGCGCAACCCUUAAGCUUAGUUGCCAUCAUUAAGUUGGGCACUCUAAGUUGACUGCCGGUGACAAACCGGAGGAAGGUGGGGAUGACGUCAAAUCAUCAUGCCCCUUAUGAUUUGGGCUACACACGUGCUACAAUGGACAAUACAAAGGGCAGCGAAACCGCGAGGUCAAGCAAAUCCCAUAAAGUUGUUCUCAGUUCGGAUUGUAGUCUGCAACUCGACUACAUGAAGCUGGAAUCGCUAGUAAUCGUAGAUCAGCAUGCUACGGUGAAUACGUUCCCGGGUCUUGUACACACCGCCCGUCACACCACGAGAGUUUGUAACACCCGAAGCCGGUGGAGUAACCUUUUAGGAGCUAGCCGUCGAAGGUGGGACAAAUGAUUGGGGUGAAGUCGUAACAAGGUAGCCGUAUCGGAAGGUGCGGCUGGAUCACCUCCUUU